rnacentral:rRNA from 1 species
UGAACGCUGGCGGCGUGCCUAAUGCAUGCAAGUCGAGCGAACGGACGAGAAGCUUGCUUCUCUGAUGUUAGCGGCGGACGGGUGAGUAACACGUGGAUAACCUACCUAUAAGGCUGGGAUAACUUCGGGAAACCGGAGCUAAUACCGGAUAAUAUUUUGAACCGCAUGGUUCAAAAGUGAAAGACGGUCUUGCUGUCACUUAUAGAUGGAUCCGCGCUGCAUUAGCUAGUUGGUAAGGUAACGGCUUACCAAGGCAACGAUGCAUAGCCGACCUGAGAGGGUGAUCGUCCACACUGGAACUGAGACACGGUCCAGACUCCUACGGGAGGCAGCAGUAGGGAAUCUUCCGCAAUGGGCGAAAGCCUGACGGAGCAACGCCACGUGAGUGAUGAAGGUCUUCGGAUCGUAAAACUCUGUUAUUAGGGAAGAACAUAUGUGUAAGUAACUGUGCACAUCUUGACGGUACCUAAUCAGAAAGCCACGGCUAACUACGUG